GAAAAAAAAUAUAAAUUACAAAUUAACCCCUAAGUUAUGCCGAAAACUACAGGUCAAUACCCGCAUUUUUUAUAAAAAUAAUUUAGUCCUUCAAGUUUUAUUCUGUCAACACAUUAGUCCUUCUGUUCAAAUGUCAAAAACUAUAAAUCAGUCCCUAUAUUUUUCAUAAAAAACAAUUUAAUCCUUUAGGUUUUAUUCUUUCAACACAUUAGUCUUGUUCAAAUCACACUCAAAUUGUCGUUAGUCAGCACAAGAUCUAAGCAAUCAAUGAAAUCCUAAAAUUUAAUGCCAUAAAUUCCCAUAGAAAAGGCAGGAAACGCAAGGGAAUGCACCAAACAACAUAAAGAACAUCAAUGUUAUACAUCAAACUGCAUCAACAUUUAAUUGAGAAAAUACUGCAAAUCAAUUCUAAGACUUUGGGAUUAUAGAAAACAAUU
rnacentral:misc_RNA from 1 species